GACGAACGCUGGCGGCGUGCCUAAUACAUGCAAGUAGAACGCUGAAGAGAGGAGCUUGCUCUUCUUGGAUGAGUUGCGAACGGGUGAGUAACGCGUAGGUAACCUGCCUUGUAGCGGGGGAUAACUAUUGGAAACGAUAGCUAAUACCGCAUAACAAUGGAUGACACAUGUCAUUUAUUUGAAAGGGGCAAUUGCUCCACUACAAGAUGGACCUGCGUUGUAUUAGCUAGUAGGUGAGGUAAUGGCUCACCUAGGCGACGAUACAUAGCCGACCUGAGAGGGUGAUCGGCCACACUGGGACUGAGACACGGCCCAGACUCCUACGGGAGGCAGCAGUAGGGAAUCUUCGGCAAUGGGGGCAACCCUGACCGAGCAACGCCGCGUGAGUGAAGAAGGUUUCGGAUCGUAAAGCUCUGUUGUAAGUCAAGAACGGGUGUGAGAGUGGAAAGUUCACACUGUGACGGUAGCUUACCAGAAAGGGACGGCUAACUACGUG
rnacentral:rRNA from 1 species